rnacentral:rRNA from 1 species
CCUACGGGAGGCAGCAGUGGGGAAUAUUGCACAAUGGGGGAAACCCUGAUGCAGCGACGCCGCGUGAGCGAAGAAGUAUUUCGGUAUGUAAAGCUCUAUCAGCAGGGAAGAUAAUGACGGUACCUGAGUAAGAAGCUCCGGCUAAAUACGUGCCAGCAGCCGCAGUAAUACGUAGGGGGCAAGCGUUAUCCGGAUUUACUGGGCGUAAAGGGAGCGUAGGUGGCAUGGCAAGUCUGAUGUGAAAUACCGGGGCUCAACCCCGGGACUGCAUUUGAAACUGUCCGGCUGGAGUGCAGGAGAGGUAGGCGGAAUUCCUGGUGUAGCGGUGAAAUGCGUAGAUAUUAGGAGGAACACCAGUGGCGAAGGCGGCUUACUGGACUGUAACUGACGCUGAGGCACGAAAGCGUGGGGAGCAAACAGGAUUAGAUACCCGUGUAGUC